GGGGUCGGGCAUUAAUUAUCUUUGCGCUUGGGGCAAUGACGCAGCUUGUGAGGUUUUAACCGAGGCGCGUCAAUUGCUGGUUGAAAACUAUUUCCAAACCCCCUCUUUGGUCUUUAUGCCACCGAGAAUUUCUGCAAGGGCUCCCUGCAACCCAGGGAGAACAAUCUUUUGGACAAAAGGACAUUGAGUAGUGUCUUGUGCACUCUGGUCUGUAGCUUGCGGUGUGGGCAGGUGAUUAGCUUAUCAGGAUUGUCAGCAAAGAGAGUUGUAGGUUGCAUAGUACAUGGCCGCAGUUGAGAUCACAUGUGGAGGGGAUGAUUUGAUAGAGCAUCACUGAUACUGGUUGGAUGAUCAAUUUUUUCAUCUUUAUUAUUUGGUAUGAAUUGAGAUUAUUGUUGAUUACAAAUAUUGAGAUUGUAUUAUAUUUUUAGGCCUUGCAUAUUUUCUAGGGCUCUACCCUAGAGAGUAUGCGGCCGUCGCGUGUCAGACUCGGAUGUUGGGUUCGGAAUGUAACAAAUAUAAUAAAAUAAAAAUAAAUAAAGUUACUGAUAAAGUUACAUGGUUAAAAGUAACCAUGGAAUGUACAGCAACAAUAUGCGACAACGCAGUAGAAUCUGCAGUAGAAUCACCACCACCAACAAAUAGCAUUGUUAUUUUGUAGUAAGUUACCUUGACAAAGAACUAUAUAAA